UUUUGUAUUUUUAGUAGAGACGGGAUUUCACCGUGUUAGCCAGAAUGGUCUCGAUCUCCUGACCUCGUGAUCCGCCCGUCUCGGCCUCCCAAAGUGCGAGAAAGAGGUGUUUUUGAGUGAGCUGGAGCACGGUGCCACUCCUCAGGGCUGUCGAGUCCCUGCUUGUGUGUGUGAAAAGGCGGUAGAAUGUGGUGGUUAGGAGCACGGACUUUUCUUCAGGCGCUGCCCUCAACUAGCUGUGUGACCUUGGGCCAGUUAUUUCAUCUAUUCCUCAGUUUCUUCAUCUUUAAAAUGGGAAUAAUAAUUCCUUCUUCAGAAGGUUACUGUAUUAAGUUAAAAUAUCUAGAGUGCUUAGAACAGGACUUGAUGCAUAUUUAACUCAUUAAAUAUUAGCUGCUG
rnacentral:lncRNA from 10 species